rnacentral:rRNA from 1 species
GACAGAGGUGCCGAGCGUUAGGCGGAAUCACUGGGCUUAAAGCGUGUGUAGGCGGAUCGUUAAGUACCUUGUGAAAUCCCACGGCUCAACCGUGGAACUGCUGGGUAUACUGGCGGUCUUGAGCCACCUAGGGGCGAGCGGAACAAACGGUGGAGCGGUGAAAUGCGUAGAUAUCGUUUGGAACGCCAACGGUGAAAACAGCUCGCUGGGGGUGUGCUGACGCUGAGACACGAAAGCCAGGGGAGCGAACGGG